rnacentral:rRNA from 1 species
CUACCAGGGUUUCUAAUCCUGUUUGCUCCCCUAGCUUUCGUUCCUCAGCGUCAGUUAUGGUCCAGCGCGCCGCUUUCGCCACGGGUGUUCCUGCAGAUAUCUACGCAUUUCACCGCUACACCUGCAAUUCCACGCGCCUCUCCCACACUCCAGCAAAGCAGUUUUGAAAGCAGCCUCUGAGUUAAGCCCAGAGAUUUCACUCCCAACUUGCCUCACCGCCUACGAACCCUUUACACCCAGUAAUUCCGAACAACGCUGGCCCCCUACGUAUUACCGCGGCUGCUGGCAC